UACGUAGGCAGCAAGCGUUGUUCGGAGUUACUGGGCGUAAAGGGUGUGUAGGCGGUUGUUUAAGUUUGGUGUGAAAUCUCCCGGCUCAACUGGGAGGGUGCGCCGAAUACUGAAUGACUAGAGUGCGGGAGAGGAAAGUGGAAUUCCUGGUGCAGCGGUGAAAUGCGUAGAUAUCAGGAGGAACACCGGUGGUGUAGACGGCUUUCUGGACCGUAACUGACGCUGAGACACGAAAGCGUGGGUAGCAAACAGG
rnacentral:rRNA from 1 species